UACGUAGGGGGCUAGCGUUGUCCGGAUUUAUUGGGCGUAAAGAGCGUGUAGGCGGCCAGGUAGGUCUGCUGUGAAAACUCGAGGCUCAACCCCGGAACUGCCUUUGAAACUAGAUGGCUAGAAUCUUGGAGAGGCGAGUGGAAUUCCGAGUGUAGAGGUGAAAUUCGUAGAUAUUCGGAAGAACACCAGUGGCGAAGGCGACUCGCUGGACAAGUAUUGACGCUGAGGUGCGAAAGCGUGGGGAGCAAACAGG
rnacentral:rRNA from 1 species